GACGAACGCUGGCGGCGUGCUUAACACAUGCAAGUCGAACGGAAAGGCCCUGCUUUUGUGGGGUGCUCGAGUGGCGAACGGGUGAGUAACACGUGAGUAACCUGCCCUUGACUUUGGGAUAACUUCAGGAAACUGGGGCUAAUACCGGAUAGGAGCUCCUGCUGCAUGGUGGGGGUUGGAAAGUUUCGGCGGUUGGGGAUGGACUCGCGGCUUAUCAGCUUGUUGGUGGGGUAGUGGCUUACCAAGGCUUUGACGGGUAGCCGGCCUGAGAGGGGGACCGGCCACAUUGGGACUGAGAUACGGCCCAGACUCCUACGGGAGGCAGCAGUGGGGAAUAUUGCACAAUGGGCGGAAGCCUGAUGCAGCGACGCCGCGUGCGGGAUGACGGCCUUCGGGUUGUAAACCGCUUUCGCCUGUGACGAAGCGUGAGUGACGGUAAUGGGUAAAGAAGCACCGGCUAACUACGUG
rnacentral:rRNA from 1 species